rnacentral:rRNA from 1 species
GACGAACGCUGGCGGCGUGCUUAACACAUGCAAGUCGAGCGGAGCGGCGAACGGGUGAGUAACGCGUGAGUAACUGCCCCCCUCUCUGGGAUAACAGUUGGAAACGGCUGCUAAUACCGGAUAGUGGGGGAUGACUCGCGUCCUAUCAGCUUGUUGGGGGGGUAGUGGCCUCCAAAGGCGACGACGGGAAGCCGGCCUGAGAGGGCGACCGGACACAUUGCGCUGCGAGACGGACCAAACUCCAACGGGGGGCAGUAGUGGGGAAUAUUGUACAAUGGGGGCACCCCUGUUGCAGCAACGCCGCGUGCGGGAUGUCGGCCUUCGGGUUGUAAACCGCUUUCAGCUAUGACGCGGUAGUGGCAGAAGAAGCACCGGCUAACUACGUGCCAGCAGCCGCGGUAAUAC